CCCUUUGAUACUCUGGGCGGUACGCGCGCUACACUGGUUUAUAUAACGUGUAAUUUGGACGAUAGUCUGUAUAAAUCACUAAUAUAAAACCGUGAAUGGGAUAGUUUAUUGCAACUUACAAGCUUUAACUAGGAAUCCCUUGUAGAAGUAGUGAAUUAUACUGCUUCGAAUACGUCCCUGCCGAUUGUACACACCGCCCGUCGUUUCUUCCGACUGGUACUCAUUGUGAAUUGCGAGGAGAUUCUGUCAAAUCGUUGUAAAUGCUGGGUAUUGGAGGAAGAAAAAGUCGUAACA
rnacentral:rRNA from 1 species